ACUUUAACACUUUGACAGCUAAGUAUUUUAUUUAUUUCCAAUCUCUGACAGCCGAUCACGUCCCCUGUCCGUGACAGUUUUUUUGUUAGAGACGCUGAUCACGUACUGCGUACGUGUGUGAAUUUCAAUACUGUUUACUUUAAAACAACGGCCUGUAAGCGUGAUCCGCGUCAUGUCAAAGCUUAGAUGAAUGUUUUGGCUACACACACAAACGCACUUCAAAUACUUGCGGUGUGUGGGGUGCGGGAAACAAAGGAUCGCACGAGCCGGGUCGACACUCGACUCUCGCGCGCCAGUUGCCUAAGCGAUCGAGACGUGUGACAAUUUUUGGCGCGAAAUGACUUCGCGACGACGAUUUCGUCUGGAUUCGGAAAGAGAAACUAGAGAUAUUAUUGACAUUUUGCAAAAUGAUGAGGAUUCGGAUAUUGAGGAGAACACCACGAUAAUAGAAACUGAAGAGGCAAUAGACGAGUUUAGAGCCGGUCAAGAACAAUUAGAAGUUAGUGAUGAGGACAUA